GACCGCGUAGCUAAGUUGGAAGAGCAUUGGGCUAGUAUUCCAAAGGUUGUAGGUUCGAAUCCCACCGUGGCCA
rnacentral:tRNA from 1 species